CAUUAUAGAUUAUGAUGAUAGAUUACUGGGGGAAUCGUCUGAACAAGGCCUGCGCUUAAUUGCGCGGCCAGUUCUUGAUUCUCUGCUAUCAGUUUUCUAUUUCUCAUCCUAAACACAAUGGAGUUUUUUCUCUAUGAACUACUUCCCUGGAGAGCUCGUCUCUCCAGUGGACAUAAACACAAACAAUAUUUUGUAUUAUGAAAAACUAUUAUACUAUAAAAUUUAAUAUUCAAAACUUUCAACAACGGAUCUCUUGGUUCUCGCAUCGAUGAAGAACGCAGCGAAUUGCGAUAUGUAUUGUGAAUUGCAGAUUUUCGUGAAUCAUCAAAUCUUUGAACGCACAUUGCGCCCUCUGGUAUUCCAGGGGGCAUGCCUGUUUGAGCGUCAUUUCUCUCUCAAACCUUUGGGUUUGGUAGUGAGUGAUACUCGUCUCGGGUUAACUUGAAAGUGGCUAGCCGUUGCCAUCUGCGUGAGCAGGGCUGCGUGUCAAGUCUAUGGACUCGACUCUUGCACAUCUACGUCUUAGGUUUGCGCCAAUUCGUGGUAAGCUUGGGUCAUAGAGACUCAUAGGUGUUAUAAAGACUCGCUGGUGUUUGUCUCCUUGAGGCAUACGGCUUUAACCAAAACUCUCAAAGUUUGACCUCAAAUCAGGUAGGAGUACCCGCUGAACUUAAGCAUACUAACGGGGGGAAAGAAAUCUUUUAAAGU
rnacentral:rRNA from 1 species